rnacentral:ncRNA from 12 species
AAUAGCUCAGUAGGUAGGGCAAUCCAGUUCCACUGGAAAAGUUGGGGGUUCGAUUCCCUCUUUG